rnacentral:rRNA from 1 species
UACGGAGGUGGCAAGCGUUGCUCGGAAUCACUGGGCGUAAAGGGCGCGUAGGCGGGAAGGAAAGUCGGGCGUGAAAUCCCUGGGCUCAACCCAGGAACUGCACUCGAAACUUCUUUUCUUGAGUGCCGGAGAGGAAAGCGGAAUUCCUGGUGUAGAGGUGAAAUUCGUAGAUAUCAGGAGGAACACCAGUGGCGAAGGCGGCUUUCUGGACGGUAACUGACGCUGAGACGCGAAAGCGUGGGGAGCAAACAGG